CGGUCAACAAGCUCCCAUAGCAGACGUUCAUUCAACCUUCUACUGAAGGCUGGAGAGAAAUCGGCUCCUGACAGGCCUUAUGCUUUUGUGUUUUAAAACACACUAUGAGAAGAUGGGGGAAGUGCAGUCUCUGCAUUUUGUAUCCUGUAAUUGCUGUACAACGUGAAUGUGAUUUCUCCCUUUAACUUGGACAGAACUGCGCAUCAAUGGAACUGGAGUGUUACAGCCUUGUUGUUAACAAGUUUAAAAUGCACCUGAAAAUUGAAAAUAUACUUUGUAAAUGCCACAAGGGAAAAGGGUUCUUUUGAAAACCCUGGCCUGGAGUUACACGCAGACUUCGGUUCUUUGCGGGAAUGGGACCCGCUCUCGGGGCUUCAGGACUGACCGUUGUUCGGCACACCAAGGGAUCGGCCUGAGAGUCCAGCUCGAAUUCAGAAGCCUAAGAUUUUGAGUGUCUGGACACGGGCAGAUCGAGAGCCAGUGUCACGACAGGAGAUCUGUGUGUUGUCGGGGAAGUCAGGGUAUCUGCUGUGGACCCAAAGACCCUGGAUCUUUGUGAUCAAAAAAAGCGACAUAACGGACUCUUUAACAUUGUAAACUGGCGAGUUGUUUGUUAUGUCUCCCCGCUCACUGGGAAAAUGGAGACACCUUUUUCUCCCUAUUAGGGAGAGAGAAUCUGCGGAAUGUUGAAUGCCGGGUAUAACAUCAAGUCUUUGGAGUAACUGCAAGCCUAUGUCUUUGCUAUUGCUUUGCUCACACUUGAGUGCUCAGUGAUGGUGCCAACACUUGCUCUUCUUUCCCGGUGAGGGGAGUGGGGGUUGUUUACUGCCGCUUAUGCACAGGAGAGAGGGCAGUUGGGGGGGCCUGUGGGGUUCUUACGUUUAUCUGUCAUUCAUACUUUGGGGACUUCUCUGUUUUCAUGGAUGUUCCUGAAGAAAAAGCAUUUCAGGAUGUAUAUUGUAUACAUCUCUCUGACAUUAAAUUGGACCUUUGAACCUUUGAAACAUAGUGCGUAGUCCCCAAAUAUGGUUCUCUUUCCAAAACAUUUAAGCAUACAAAGCUACAAAAGUGACUUACAAGAGUGAGAAGGCCUGCAGAUGCAGGAAAUCCAAAGCAACACACACAGAAUGCUGGAGGAACUCAGCAGGUCAGGCAGCAGCUAUCAAAAUGAACGAAUAGUCGACGUUUC